CGCCCCGUAAGCCUACUGAGAACUAAAGACAGACGGAGUCAUUUUCAUCAAAAGCCUACUUUUACCUGAAGGAAGUUUGGCAACACCAGUCUAGUGUGGUCUCCUGAAGGAAAAUGGAAGGGUUGGUGACUUACCAUGACAAGGUAAAUACCAAAAGACAAAUGCUAAAAAUGUUAAUGAAAAUCAUUCCUGCUUGCCCUUUAGGAGGGUUAGCGGGGGUAUUCUGAGUACUGGGUUCAUACUUUAGAGGCAAGUUGACGGCUAAUUAAUUUUGGUUACUUAAAAGGCAGAAGGGGGGAGGGGACAGGGUCCCUGUGACAGUGGGGCACUUGCAAGUGUGGAAGACGUGGGAGGAACGCAGAGAUAACUCGGUGGUUUUCAUGGGGCACUGCCCGUUUCAUUAGUUUCAUCUCACAAAGGGCGAUCUCGGCCCCCAGCACACGCAUCAUUGAGGCCCCCGGUGAAGGUGGGGAAGGUGCGAGAGCAUCGGCCCCUCUGCCCAGGAGGGCUCAGCAGGGUAAGCUCUGACGGGCUGCUGGCCGCCCGUGCCUGCGGAAUCUGGGACAAGAUAAACACCAAAGGUUUGAGGUUGGCUGUCGAACGGGGGCACAGAUACAUCGCAGGAAUGUUUGAGACGGCCUCAAACAAGACGGUGUGGCUCUUCUUCUGCAGGUUUUAGUCUACAACUCCCUCUCCCAGCCCGAGUUCCGUGUCAGUAGAGGGCCAGGGAAAAAGCCAGACCUGCCCCGGGGCUCUCUUUCCUACGCAAGAAGGCCACCAAGCUCACAACACAGCAUUUUCUGUGUAGGGGGUCGGGGGGCCAAGCUUUUCUGAAAGGUAACGUUGCACACGCAGUAACCACCGCCACAUUUUCUUGGGAGCAGCUGGUCUAUACCAGCGCCCCUGAGCAACCCCAAGCUGGGAGAAUAAUGUGGGUAUUUGUAUGGAGCUGGGUGCUGACACACAUCAUUUUCAUAAUUACUGUAUUUCUCGUCUCCAUGUCCGUGGGCCAAGCAGAAAGAGUGCAGGGAAGGCAGUCACCUAUAUGUACUUCUAUCUGCUCGAGUUUACAGUGAUGGCACAAGGCUGAUUAAUCCUCCCCUCUCCAUGACGUGGAGGCAGGAGCCGCCUAACGUUAUCUUUAUUAUUGUUCGGCAGAUUCCAUACCACUACAUACAGAAAGAGCGUAAAUCAUGGAACCAGUGUUUGAGGUCCAUAAAAUGCAAGGUUAUGAAUAUUUCAUUACUAUACAUUUUAUUUCCCUGUCUCUUCUGCAUCUCCCAAAAUGUUGUUUGUUUAUUUAUUGGCUCACUGUUCGCCAGGAAUGCUUAAUUCUUAAUAUAAGGUAUGGACACGAUGACCAACCUUGGCCCUUGCGGCCUGAGCUGGCAUUUGAAAGUAAUGAUAGAUGUUUUGGUGCAGGUUUUGGUUUUCCCGUUUACACGCUUUUUCAUCACGCAGAUAAUUGGCUGCGAGGUGACCCCACUAACAGAAGUUUCAGCUUCUUCCGUCAUAAUUGCAUUGAUCUGCAGGCCCCACAAAUUGACCCGCCCCCCCCCCCCCCCAAACGUUUCUCCUGUGAGCCACGGCUACUUAUUUAAAUUUUUCUCAACGCCUCAUUGUAUCCGUCUUUGGCUGAAGUAAGCAGACUUCUUCGGCUGCAGAUCUUGGCAGUGAAAGACACAUUGUCCAAGUGCAAUUAGCUUCACUCCCUGCGCCGGGCGGAAUGAUUUGUAUGAAUCAGCUGGUCCUGCAAAAGAGGCAGCCAUUAUCACCUGCUUGUGAAUUUCCCUUUAACCACAAAAUUCAUAUUAGUAAAUAGCCGGGGGGAUUCAAUCUGAGCAAAAUCAGAACCUGAGUGGCCUGCAUUAAGGUGCUAACUUCUCUCCUGCUAUAGGGCAUAGGGGAUAUUAAUACAAAUCUUUGGUACAGGCUGCAAAAUAUAGAAAAUGUCAUAAUUAUAUCUGCAAUUCAGCAACGAAACAAUUCCCCCCCCCCCUUUCUUCUCUGUCAUCAACAUAAUAGCAGCCUAUGGGAUUUGUAUUUUCUGGCUGUGAGCCCUUUUAUGGGGCUGUAGGAAAAAAAAUACAAGCAGGUUAGUUUCACAGCUCUGAGGAGGCCUCGUGACAGAAUACUGCUUUUAAUGUUAUUGUCUCUAGCUUGUAACCCACUCUCUUUGGGUGGACAGGCUACUGUGCUCAGACAGCAUCAUUUAGGUUUUUCCGAUAAACCUCUAGGUCCCCUUUGCUGCUUCUCCCACCCUCCUGGAUGGGGAAAUAAUUACCCAGCUUGUGGGAUCAGGCUCUAUUACGGAUAGGGAGGGGGUUAGUCAGAGGGGAGUGAAGUCAGAAGGAGGCAAGUCUCCAAGGUUUCUCUUGGAGACAUAAAAGAACCUAGGAAAGAUGCAUUCUGAGUGAAUCCUCACAUCCCGUUUAUUUUGCUAGCCAAGACAAAUAUCACAGCUCAUAUCUAACAUUUGAAAAGCAGGGCCAAAUAAAAUGAUGGAUUAAUAAGUCCAAGGACAGAAUAAUAGAAGGAAAAUAUAUUAUAGAAAACGAUGCCCGUGUCAAUCUGAAAGGGGUGGGGCGGGGUUGGGGGGAAGAAAAGCUGAAAUGAAAAUGGAAAAAAAAAGUGUGCCAUAGCAACCUUAAAUGAAAAACCCCCCUGUCGUCACGCUAAAUAUUAAUUAAUGUUACCCAAGACCCCUAUGGUACUAUUACUUGAGAAACAGGUGUGUUCAGACCAUUUAAGAUUCUUUUUGUUGUAACCUACACUAUGGGCAUCAUGGACUGAACGCCAGGCUAAAUGUUCCCUCUAUAAUUAUUGGUAAUAAUAUUCCGGGCACAUGUACAGCCUCCAUCAUCAUCCAUGAUGAGGCUAAUCCAGUACUUUCUGCAUGAACUGUUAUAAUACCCAAAGCAGCAGGGCAAAAUAUUAUCAAGCAUGGGUUUACCGCUGGAAAACCUAGUGCAACAGAGUCCACGUCUAGAAAAUCGACUAGGGAUGGAAUUUGUUUGAACUGGCCAUACAGACACACACCUGUAACCCUCUGUGAGGGGACCCACUCAGUGAGCGUUUCUCAGAACAGGGUCAUGUGAGUCACAGGAAGCCAUCCUGAAUACACCUCUGCAGAACUAAGAAACUAUUCUUCCGUCAAGAGGCAGCUCUUUAAUGAGAGAUGAGGUGAUCUGAAUUCUGUUGUCAUGUCAGCCACAGACGCAUGGUAAUGUUCUGCGGGCCAUUCUGGGACUCCGUUUCAUAAAUGAUAAAGGUUGGAAGAUAGCCUUUCUCUAUUAAAGAAAGUGAGUGGCCUAGAGACAAAUAGUUUCUCUAUUGUUUUUUUUUUGUUUGUUUGUUUGUUUUAAGAAUUUUAAAAUCUGUGAGUAGCCUAGAGACAAAUAGUUUCUCUACUGGUUUUUUUUGUUUGUUUUUUUAAGAAAAUUUUUAAAGUUUAUUUAUUUAUUUUGGGGGGGAGGGAGGGAGUGGGGAAGGCACAGAGAGAGAGGGAAAGAGAGAAUUCCAAGCAGGCUCCAUGCUGUCAGCACAGAGCCCGACACGGGACUCGAACUCACAAGCCAUGAGAUCAUGACCUGAGCCAAAAUCAAGAGUCAUAUGCUUAACCUACUGAGCCACCCUGGCACCCCUCUAUUGUUUUUUAACACAAAGUGAAUGGACCAAUAAUGUCACAAGCAACAAAUCAUUAUUUAAAUGGAUUUGCUCAAGAGUCCUAUAAAAGACUUUAAUAGACGGGAAAGUCUGGAAGUUGCUAGAAAGGACUCAGAUGUGACAUAGAAAUACUGUCAUACAUGCCCGACCCUUCUUGAACUCUGAGAUUACAGCAAGGAGAAUGUAGUUGUGCCCACAUUUAAGGAGAAAAAAAAUGCAGCAUAUGAAAAUUCAAAUUUACAAACCAGAUCAAUUAAUGGGUGAUUAUUCACACUAUAAAAGGAUUUAUCGCUUUACAAAUGGAUUCCCUGCAGGGUUCCAUUUUAAUAACUGAGCUUUCUCAGUGUUAGAAGGCACUACCAAUUAAGAGUCAAUCAGAAGUGGAGAUAAAGCACCUCUGAAAUUAAAAUGUAUGUCGAUGGGAAAUCACUGGUAGGGUUACAAAAAUCGGCAUUACAAUUCUGUAGGGACACAGAUUUUUUUUCUCUCACAUGCCUUUAUUGAACACCUACUACAAACCCGACUGGUCCUGAAGGGUCGCUGUCAGGGGAUCUCAAAAAACUGAAUACACGGUAUUGUCUCUGGGACCUCCACAGGGUGUUGCAGCGAUAGGGUGUGAAGGAGGGACAAUCCCCACUUGCAAGGGGUGGGCACCGCUUUCUCGUCAGUGCACAUCAUCACUCCCCAUUCACCAAAUAUCAAGGAGGCUCCCCUGUCAUCACAUCAGUCACAGAAUGCCCUCACACACAUUCCAAUUUCUUUCGUCCCACCCACCCAGCACACUACUAACUGAGAACCUUUCUGAUGUUCAGAAACUCUGCUUGAAUCUCUUACAAUAUUGGUAUUAGAGACGUCGUAAGAGUUUAGCUCUUUUGGGUGAGGAGGAAAUUGAGGCAGGAAGAAAUGAAGGGGCAGAUCUUUUCAUGCCUUCUCCAUGUAUCUCUCUUUAAAUCAAUCUCUUUGGAGACAGGGCACUUGAUGCUACUCUGAAUCCUGCUUUUCCUUACCCUCGACGUUUUCUCUGUUGUCCCUCUGGAUCUCCACCCUUUGCCCUCGUCUUCAGGAAAGGACUCACCCUUUGUCAGGGUCAGCUUCCAUCUGUUCGCUGGGAUCUCUCUCCCGAAAGUCUCUGUGUCUUCCAGGAGUAGGCUUUUAGAACAGGAAGGGUGGGGAGUGAAAGUCCACCCCAAAGAUUCCAGUGACUCUGUGGGGAAAGUUCUCUAAUGAAGUAAAGAGAGUUUUCCAUUGGGGGCUUAAGGAGAGGAGGUUUGGAACUGCUGUGGCUGGCUUGAUAGGGCAUCAACAACAAGGUGAAUAAAAGGAAUUAUUCUUUGUGGUGGCUGGCUUCACUAGGGUUCAGCUGAUGAGGUUGCACAAAACCCUAACUGGCCCAAUCAGCACAUUUUUCAUUAUUUUCUUCAGCAGCUUUCAGCCACUCCUCACUGACGAAGGGGUUAAAUGUAAAGAGAUUGAGGGAUCUGGAUAGCACAGUAGACACAUCAUAGGAACGGCCAGCCUCGAGGUCCGUACCCAGAGGCAAAGUGACACAACAGGUGAUCUGGACCGCCCCACAACUGGAAUGCUUCAGGAAGCCAUAAUGAUCUGACCUGCUGACUCUGUUGGUGAGCAAUGGAGAGGAUGGGAAGGGGAGUUUCCAAGGCGAAGGUCAGAGUCUCAGCUUCAAACAUGCACCAGUUGUGCGUGUAGCAGUGUGGUCUCUGGUAUGGCCAGCUGGUGUGUUUGAGGCCAAGUGGAAAUGAAGUGAUCUAGAGGAAUGUUAAAGCCCCUAAAAAUGGUAUAUAGAGAGAGAGAUUGGGACAGGCACUGAAGUCAUUUUGUAAAGUAAAUGGAAGUGAAUUUGAAAAGCAUGACUCAAAUUUCCAUUAAAAUGCCCCUGGGACAAAAGAUUGCAAGAAGAUACACAACAAUUCUCAGCUACCUUCAUAUUAGUAUAAUGCAUCAGGGACCUCAAAUAAGGUUGCAUUGCCCACCAAAUUUCCACUGGUGCCAUUAGUAUUCAAUUGACAGGUAUUUUGGAUACAGUGUGCAUAGCAUAAACAAUAUGAAUAUCAACCCUCUGUCAGAUACUGUACUAAGCACAGUUUUGCAAUUGAAAAUAAACAGGUACCUUCCCUUAAGGUGGUAAGCCCAGUGAAGGAGGAGCAAGCUUCAAUUUCAGCAGCCUGUCAUAAGUACAAAUAUAUAUGCUCAUAGAAGGAAUGCGAAGGAAUGCCUAACUUAGUCUCUAGAAUCAUAGAAGGCUUCCUGGACAAGGCAACAUCUAAGCUGGGAUUGGAAAGGUAAUCUGAGAGAUGUUGGCAAAGAAGCAGCAGGAGUGGAGACCCAGAAGCGGAAAGGAGCAGGAUACACAGAAGGAAUCAGGUGUGAAGACGACCAGGAAGUCAGACUGGAAGGAAGAGGGGGGUAAGCGCUAAAUGGGCAAGGACGUCUUGAGUCACUCCAAGGAGCUGCCAUCUUAUCCUGAGAGCACAGAAAACAAGUAAGAGAUUUUUACACUGGAGGAAUGACUUGAUCACAUCUGCAGUUUAGAAAGCUCAUUCUCGUUGCUGUUUUGAGAGUACGUUAGUCUGAAGACGGCUGGCAUGGAUAUAUCACAUCCAGUUAUACCAGUACGGGAGAGGGAAGAAUGGAAGGUAACACCCAAGACUUCUGGCUUGUGCGUAUAGAAGGGUCUUGGCACAAAUCUCAGACACGCGAGCAGUUCGUUAGGCUGAGGGCAGCAGGAAUCUAUUGGUCCUGGCUCAGGCAUGUUGAGGUGGAGACGUCAGUAAGAUAUGCAGGUAAGCACGGUCCGUGGACAGACGUGAAGUCAGAUCAGGCAAGGGCUCUGGAAUGCACGUGGGGAUGUUUGCAUCCUUCAAGUAACUGAAGCCCUGGGGAUGGAGGAGAUCCACCAGAGAUGAUGGGAAGGGGCUAUGUAAUAACCAUGGUAGAAAACGUUUUGGAAAAUAGGAAUUCUAAUGCCUGCCUGUCUCCUGGCAUUAAGACAUUCCAGCUGGAGACUGUAAACAAAGUACCUUGCACCUUACAGAGAUUUAUGGAAAUGUUACUUUUUCAAAGUUUUCUUUGAACAUACUUCCUUGCCUAGGUAUUAUCACCAAAAACACCAACCAUCAUUGCGUGGAAUGUUCGCUGGGGCUAUAGAAGAUGUGAGAAAUGGGAAACUUGACUUUAAUUUUGUCACCCAACUGCCUUUGAUACCUUUGAUAUUUGAAGGAUACUCAAAGAUUAUCUAACUUUUAUUUCAGGUUAAACUCUCAAAAAGCUACAUACUUAAACCAUGAAUACUGAGCUCCCACUAAAAUGUCUUCUCUGAAUUAUUUAAUAAUACGAGGCUAUCGCAGUUGGGGAGGAAUCUCAGAAAUAACCAAGGGAAGCAUGUUCUGUCCCAUUUAUAGAGUUCCCACAGGGAACUCUAUGUGUCCGUUCUUCUGCUUGGCAUUUUAAGGAGCCAUACAUCCACACAGAAAAUACCAGCAAAAAACAAAAACAAAAACAAAAAAACAAAAAGAAAACCACGAAAACCAAAACAUCCCUAGGACUACAUUCAUUUCCUCUUUACGUACAGUUAGGAUUCUAGCUAUGAUGCACUGGGUGCCAUGUAACCCAUUCUCUUUCUCUCUCCCUUACUUUUUACUUUGGCUUAUUAAAAAGAUUACACACGGUCUGGAACGGGCCAGCUGACAGGGACUUACAUCCACUGGAGACGAGCUACUCAUUCUUCCCUUUUGUAGAACGUCCCCUUCUCUGCCUGGCACAUCACUCCGUCUCCGCUUGCUCAUAAUUUCUCCUUAGAACUUACUAUCUGGCCCAGGUAUACCUCAUGACCUUGUUUCAGAUCCAACUUCUGUCACUGGACAAAUUUUUCUUUUCCGGUUCAGUUUCCAGAGGGAAGGGAUAUGAUCGCCUCAGCCGAGCACUUUGCACAGCUUUUUGGGCACAGCCUCGCCGGCCAGGCCCGCAGAGUCUGCUGGCGAGCUGGAGGUGGGACCCCUGGAGCGGGGGACCAUGCCCAGCCAGGACAGGCCAGGGUAGACCUACAGACGCAGAACAUGCUGUCCAGGCAACUCUCCUUACUGACGUGUGCUUUUUUACCUUGUACUUUUGUUUGUCUUUUUAUAGUACAUAGGUUUAUGAUAUCAACCACUAAGCCUUUUCCAGAACGUCCAUUUUUUUUUUUAAAAUGAAUUAGUAUAUUGAUUUAGAAACCUUUUUGAGCAAACACUAAAUCAGACUUAUAAACUGGUUCUCUUUCUAAAACAUUAAAAUUAAAAUCUCGUCAACUGAGAGGUUUUCUUCAAGAGUCUGAUGAAUGGCGGUUUUAUUGUGACAAAAGGCCACUCCAACGUGAUCCACAAGUGAUGGAGUAUUGUGUUUGUCAGUGUUCGCGACCAAAGUGUUCAGGGGACUGUGUGGCUUCCGGUUUCCAAAGUGGGAUCUUGUAAGUCCUGAGUGACAGGGUGGAUGUGUUCAUAGACCGGAGUCAGCGCCGACGGGUUCUCAAGAGUCGCUUGUUAAACUCUCAUGCAUUUUGUUAAUUUGGCUUGUUAUACUCGGCCAUUAUUUAGGUCAACUCGUAACUAGAUAACUUAUAUUAAAAACAAAGGUGGGGCACCUAGGUGGAUCAGUCAGUUAAGCGUCUGGCUCUCGAUUUCGGCUCAGGUCAUGAUCUCCUGGUUCAUGGGUUUGAGACCCGUGUUGGGCUCUGUGCGGACAUCAGGGAUCCUGCUUGGGAUCCUCUCCCUCCCUCUCUCUCUGCCCCUCCCCUGCUUGUGCUCUCUCUCUCUCUCUCUCUCUCUCAAAAUAAAUACAUAAACUUAAAAAAAAAAAAAACCCAAAGGAAAAAUAUAUUCAAGAUCUUUUUUUUUUUUUUUUUUUUAGUUUAUGACAUUUUACCCUUAUCUCUGCUUCUGAGGUUACCGACGUGCAUUGUGUCCGUGUGGUUUAAAUCCUCUAGAACUGUGUGCUCCUGCACGUUCAGUGACGCCACGCUGACAUCCCGAAAUCCCAGACAGUGAAAGUAUUUACGUCGCGGAAUAAACUCAUGCUGCAAAUCAGCCCUUCCCCACUGAUGCCCCCUUCCUGGAGAGCCAGUUGUUAAACACUUAACCAACACCUCACCGGACAUCUGUUUUAUGAAUUGAAAGUAAGACUUUCAAAUUUGCAAUUUUUUGGAGUUAUAAAAAAAAUAUUUUAGGGGCGCCUGGGUGGCUCCGUUACGUAAGUGUCCGACUCUUGACUUCGGCUCAGGUCACGAUCUCAUGGAUUGUGAGAUCGAGCCCCAGGUCAGGAUCUGUACUAGUGCAGAGUCCUGCUUGGGAUUGUCUCUCUCCCUCUCUCUCUGCCCCUUCCCCCAACUGUCUCUGAAACAAAUAAACCUAAAAAGUAUGAAAAAAAAUACUUUAAAAAGGGAACAUUGCUCUAACCCUGACUUACUUACCAAUCCAUUAAAUUUACUCACCAAUAACACCAGCAUCCUUGUAUAUCACCUCUUCCCUUGAAAAGUCCUACCAUAGAAAAAUCUCAGAAUGCAUUAUUUUAGGGAAGGGGAGGUGGUUAAAGGAAGCUUAUUCACAUGAACCCAUACACAGGCACCUGUACAAAAUGCCCAACCAGGAAUAGGGGUACCAUCACCCAAUGAUGGAAUUUAAGCUUCUUGAAACAAUUACAACGUACAUUUAAAUUCAGGUGUUUUACUGUCCCCACCGCUACCCAUGUUCGUGAAUACCAAUGAAAAAGUAUACUUUCUACUCCGCAGUUUUGACUCAUGAUGACCUCAUUAGCCACCAAACAAAUUAAUCCUAAUUAUAACCUUUUGAAACAUUACUGCAUUAAUGGAAUGUGGAAGAAGAUUACUGACUGAAUCUCUUAUUAAUGUGUUUUGUCCCUCACGAGAUUGUCGGAGUGGUUGAAUGUUUCAACUGUUCUUACAAAACAUAUGGACAGAGUGACGACAAAUAGAAAAAAUAUAUAACCUAAUCACACUUGGAAAACAUACGUACAGGGGGAGGGAGUAGGGAGCUUUGUAGGUCUGGCAAACCGGAAGUGGGGGGGGUCUGCCAUUAGUCGAUUUGUGUGAUGUGCUAAGGAGCUUCCCAGGAAGGUCCCAUCCGAAUGGAAAAGAGAACCAAGCACAAACUCAGUCAGGAAGAGAGCCAGGGAGAGGUGAUUAUGAAUACAUCAGAGCGUCUGUCACUUGGAUGAGCUCCUGGCCUUGUCCCCCAGCCUAUGUCUGAGUCGUGAGGUGAGCUGGGGUAAUAUAAGUAAAAAUGAUAGAGCCGCUCAGGAGAUCCAUUCUGAGAUUUUAGAGCACAUCCGUUAUUGCUCUGGGAACCCUCUAGUGCAACAGAAGGCUAAAGAGAAGAAACAUGCACCUCUCCUUUUGCAACAGGAUUCUGAACAGCUGUGAUAUUUCAUGGGUCCUUGGCCACUGGUGGUGCAGGAGCAGUGGGGGCAGGGGCCUGCCAAAGAAGCAGCUGGGCCCAGCAGAGGCUACUGUCCCUUUGGAAAGGUGAUUGGGAUGGGUAGAUGCAUCGAUCACUAGUGAAAGGGGUAGAGGUAGACAUCGCAAGUGGUCCACACACCAAGCGCAGGACACAGGGAGUGAUAUCAAAAGAACAGAAACAAAGGUGAUGCAUGGUAACUAACUUGACUUUCUCUUUGGAUUCACUGGGUGUGCUAGGGAAGGAUCGCUGAGAAAUCUGGGGGAAGGGGAAGAACUCGCAGAGGCCUACAGUUUUGCAUUAGUGGGUGGUGACGAGAACUCAUAAAAAAGAGUUGCAUCUUUGCCUGUUGGAAGAUUCCUGGUGCGGAUAUGACUCACAAAGAACCCAGGGCACAUUCUCACCCCAACUGCCAAUGCCAGUCAACUGAUGCCAUGGAGAUAGAUGGAUACUGGUGGUCCCAGGUGGUGCUCCUCAUUGGGUUACCUCCCCAAGCAAGAGGAAAGCCAUUUUGCUAACUUCAGGGAAGUUUCCUGAGGCACGUGAAAAUACUCACCAUGCAACUUGCGGUGCCCUGAGAAUGCCCACUGUCUUCAUUGAGGCACCAGCAAGAGGUCCGUUUCAUUGGAGCAUUUGGAAAGCACCUUGAGCACUUGAAGCACGAGCCACCUGGACGCCUUGCGCGAUAAGCUCUAUGAAGACACAGGGCUGGUCUGUGUUCUCUCUGUGAAGCGCAAAGACUGUUGGAAGGGCAGAGACAAAUGAAAAAUCUAGGCUGGCUCCCAGAGGAUGUAAUUAGGAUGGAGAGCUGAACCACUCCUACCAACACCUGUCAGGGCAGCACAAACAGUGUCUUUGUGCAAAUUAGAAAAAAGCAGCCUCUCUGGGUAGCCAAGUGGCUGGGAGACCUUUCUCGGCUGACGAGCCCUCACGGGGGCACAGCCUGGCAAACAGGGAACAGACCCCCCGGUCCCUCAGCGGCCACGCACAAGUACACUACCAUCUGGGGCAGCGCACCCAACGUAACGUGCCAGGAGGGGGGGUUCACUGAACGCACCCCACGUUAAGAACCAGGAGUAAGCUAGAGGAUGUGCUCUUGGAGGUACGAGCCAGAGGCUUUGCUUGACCUGAAACACGCAGAAUGUGCGGCUAGUGGAGUAGCCUGGGAACUGGUUGCCCCAUCUGGCCAGACAGUACGUGCAUAGCACCGCUCCACAGCCCCAAACAGCUGCCCGUCGUCAAGGACACAAAAGGCCAGAAAAGUAACAUUUUAAAACCCAGAAAGUGCCAAAGCCAUACCUGGAAAGAAAUCAUCGCAGGCCCGGAACGGGUCCUGGAACUGACAGAGGUCAUCUUCUCACAAGAGAGGCUAAGAAGUCCUCCAGCGCCCUGGCUGCCCCAAGUGCCCAGGGGCCCCGGCGAGGGCUGCCUCGCGCAUUGCUGGCCUCCACUGCAACAGUGACCCCGGAGGUGAGUCCCGAAGGACAAGGAGACUUUGACAGAGAGGGCACAGACACGUAGGGAGGUAGCAAAUCGAGAGAACAUUACGUCCACUAUCGGGGCCUCAGCCACGCCUGGGCAGAUGGGGAAAUGAGAAAGAAGAAGCUUAUGGAACUUGUAUUUGCAGGACCCCGAAGACCAAGAUAUAUUUAGGGGAACAGAGAGCUCGACACCAAGCGCGCAGCUUGUUAAAGGAGAGGGAUCCUUCUGCGAGCAGAGUGGUGAUUCCCGUUGCAUUUUGUCUCCUGGUUAGAACCCCAUGAACCUGGGCAUGGGUCCAACUGUGGGGAAGGGGUAGGGAGUGCUGGGGGAGGGAGGUGGGAGGCACCAUCAAAUAGAACCUGCAAGGACUGACACUGAGCUGUAAGACAGUGGUCACAAGUAGCCACACGUUUCAGCCCCUAGGAUGGUAUCACAAGAGGGGCAUGCUUUGCCCUACUCUGUAGAAAUCCCUUGUGGUUUGGGACCCUCAGGGGCUGGGGGAGGUGCAGGGUUUCGGUGCCUUCUGAAGGUGCUGGUGCUGUCCCGAGGCAGUGAAAGAAGCCAUACCCAGCAGAGGGGACCCCAGGCCUGGAGACAUCGUGGGGUCAGCAGAUGACAGUGCCCCUAGAAGCAAUAUGACUGAAGGAGAAGGAUGGAGACAGAGCCACAUGGGGAGGGACGGAUCCCAGUAUGAUCAUAUGCGACCUGCCCCUGGGGACCUAAAGGUGACUGGGGGGAAACGUGGGGACUUCUGUAGAGGCCUGGGGUCCAGCCAGCCUUCACAGACCACCGCAAGAGCUAGCAAAGCCCGACUGCACAGGGAGGACGCACAGGUAUCCUGACAGUUGGGAGAACAGGUAAGAGCCAAGAUUACAUCCGUAAUCCAAAAUGAUUUUCAGUAUCCUACAAGUGCUUCAUUGCCUUUCCGAACCCAAACUGUGAAAUGUAAAAACAUCCAGAAGGCUCCCACAAAAGCGCACUGCUCCUCGCCUGUGACGCUCGGGCCUUGCCCCUCACCAGCCUUAUCUGUCCCCGGAACACGCCAAGCUUGCUCUCACCCGUGGGCCUGUACACUUGCUCUUCCCUCUCUCUGGAAUAUUCUCCCUCCAAGCUUUGCAGAGUGGGCUCCUUCUUGUCAUUCAGAUCUCAGCCUAAAUGCCAUUUCCUCAGAGAGGCUUUUGUCUGACUGUACAAUUUUUUAGCCCAUCUUUCCACCCACAGCUACUCCCGCACAUUAUGUGGUUUUAUGGUUUUAAUGACACUUAUCAUUAGCUGAAAUUAUCUUGUUUGAUUUUUUUUUUUAAGUUACUUAUCUAUCGCCUGUCUAUCUCCAACAAAAUGUUAAGUACCAAAAAAUCCAGGGCAUUUGUCUGUCUUAUUCCCAGCUGUAUUCCCUGGCACGUUACCGCCUGGCACGUACAGUGUGCUCUUUAAGAAUUAGUGGAAUCAAUUAAUUUUAAACAUUCAUUUUCAAUUUCCCUGCAAUUGGGGGAAAUACUCACCAUAGGUCCACAUAAAAAAAAAAAAAAAAAAAAAAGAAUGAUGUCUCUAGACCCUUUAUCUCAUCCAUUUUCCAGGUAAAUGAGAACAAGAAUUUCUGCCUCAAAUUUAGCCUGGAACUGUGAUUUGUUUAUGUGUGCUGACAGAUCACUUUCAAAUCCACGUCUCUGACAUCUUUGUACACUAACCCUUUGCACACAUCAGUACGUUAACAUUCAUUUUGCCAGAACAUCAGGUGUCUCCACUCUUCUGACCGUGCCUUCUCUAACCCGGUGCCGUUAAAACAACACGUCGCUAAUGAGAAUUUGCGAUCUAUCAGCAACGUGUAGGACAACCUUUUACCCCAAUGGCGACACCAACAUCCUCCGCCUGCUUUGUGGCAAUUCUGAUCCUCAAGAUUCUGAUCCUGCUUUAAAAAUAUUUGUAGCCAGAGACUGUGUUUGGAAGAGAAUCCAGGUCCCUCCCUGUGUUCUAGUAACUUUGCAUACCCACGGGGAUUAUGUCUAAUGUUUUCCAAGUCCUUUUAGGUGACUGAUGUGACACCAAAUGAGCUUCGAAGACACACUGCUGAAUCAUCUUCAUUGGAAAGUUUUAAGAAUAGAACAGGUAACUGCCUAUUGCUAGAUGAGAUGUCACAGCACUCUGAAGCUAGGGAUAAACCAAUACACCCCUUGAGAUUUGCUCUAGGAAGGUGAUUUUUCUACCUUUGGAUAAUAAUUAGUCCUCUAAAACUGGCAAGUUUUUUUUUUAAGUGUAUUUAUUAUUUUUUUGAUGUUUGUUUAUUUUUGAGAGAGAGAGACAAGGAAAGAGUGAGUAGGGGAGAGGCAGAGAGAGAGGGAGACACAGAAUCCGAAGCAGGUUCCAGGCUCUCAGCUGUCAGCACAGAACCCAACACGGGGCUCGAACCCACCAGCUGUGAGAUCAUGAACGGAGCCAAAGUCAGACACCCAACCGACUAAGCCACCCAGGUGCCCCCUUUUUAAGUUUAUUUAUCUUGAGAGAGAGAAAAAGAAAGUGGGAGAGAGACAGAGAGGGAGAGAGAGAAUCCCAAGCAGGCUCUGGGCUGUCAGCACAGAGCCCAACAAGGACUUGAUCUCAUGAACCAUGAGAUCGUGACCUGAGCUGAAAUUAAGAGUUGGACGCUUAAUUGGUGUCUGAGCUACCAGGCGCCCCUAAAAUUGUCAAGUUUUGCUCUUAACAAACAAAAUUAUCUUGAAAAAAACUUUAUUAAUCAAUAUUGUGGAAUGCAUAUAUAUUAUAUAUGUAUUAUAUAUUAUAUAUAUUUUUUUAAAUAUUUGUCUAUAUUAUAUACAUGUUAUGUAUUAUAUGUAAGAUACAUUAUUUACAUUUCUAUACAUGACAUAUGUUAUAUAUAUAAUAUGCAUUAUAUACAUUUAUGUUUAUAUAUGUUUUCCGCCAGUUAGGAAUACCAACAGAGUAUUGAAAUGAUGUGGGGUUUUUUUUUGUUUUUUGUUUUUUGUUUUUUUGAAGGGAUGUUUAAGACCAAAAAAGACCAGUGACUUUUGGGGAUAUUUCCUGAUGUGUUUGGCAUUUUUUAAAUUUUUGUUGUUGUUCUUUUUUCAUGUAAAUCAUCCCCUAGUAACUAGCAUGGGGUAUUUCUGAAAUUCAUUUACUGCCAUUUUGCUGUAUUGUCCAACAGAUUGUUUCUAGUACCUUCUGAUGUGUGGCAGCUGUGUUUUAACAAUUCCAAGUGUACCAUAUGAAAGUAAUCAAAGACAUUAACACACUCGUGUCUGCAGCUCUGGAGGUAUUUCCUGAAUGUGGUACUUGCUGGGCCAUGCAAAGUUGUCCGUAAAUUACUUUUUUUUUUCUCGUUUGUAUGCUGAUGUCUUCUCGAAAUAUAUGUAGAAUCAUCACAUGUUUGUGUCUGUGGAUCCCUGUCUUCAUGGACACAGCUCUCUACAAAGGGCAAGCAUACCAAAAUCUGCAUUCAAGUGCCAUUUUUACAGAGCAUAGAAUACCUGACACAUUAAUCUGUGCAAAGUGAUCUCUCAGAUUCCCAAAGGAGGAAAUAGUUAAAGUUUAGUGUUUUCUCUGAUAUAGUGUACCCUGGGUAGAGUAGUAAUCGCUAACGGCAUAACAUCCUAAUGCACGUGGUUAUUGGGAAAUGUUUCACAAACAGUAUUUUAUUAUAGUGAGAUUGCACUGUACUUAAAGUAAAUACCCCUGGAUCCCCUCCAAAGCCGAAAGAAUGUAGUUAGGUUACCGAAUCUGCUCAUUCAGCAAUUGUGUCAUGAUAAAUUAGGAAUUUGGAGGGGGGAAAAAAGUUCUUUGUUUAUCAUAAAAGGUGUAGAGAGGGAGAGUAACCUGAAGAAGGUACACUUUCAGAAUACCGUUUGUCAGGAAAAUGAUGUGUUGUGCAAUCUCGAAAGAAGGUAUAAAAAUAUGCACAUUGUAUUACCUCCCUGACUGUCAAGUCACGUAUAUCAUGCAAGCUAGGUAUCCGAGGGUGAAGCUUAAAAAGGAAGUUUCCACGUGUGGCACAUGGAGUCCUCAGUCAUAUUUCAAGACUUAAAUCUAGCUUUCCACACAUACAAUUUUACAGCACUUUUGAGAACUUUAUCAAAAAAACGUAAACGCUUUCAUUCGCCGGCUAUAGAUUCCGUAUUUCAGUGGACAUACAUGUUAUAGAUAGAGUAUAGAUCUGGAGAGAGAUUUAGAGAGAACGCCCAGUCCCAGCUUCGCUUUCCUCGCUAGAGGAAGUAUGCUUUCCAAACACGCUUUACAUAAGGGUUCUAGGACUCUGUGGUAGAAUCCAAGAGCCUGCGUUUAUUUGACAUUCCAUUUCUCCCCAAUGACCACUACUGACUGAGCCUGGCCCUUGAGGAACUUUCACUCUUAAUUAAAAUAGUGACACCAAAAGCUUUUAAUGAUUCCCCAAAUGCUAUUACAAGGUACAGGGUAAAUGUUAGAGCUGGGGCCCAUCUUUGGGGAAUAACUACAAUUUGGAAGUAACGUUUUCCAUACUGCUUUGUCCAUUGCCUUCCUUUGGCCUUCCCACAGGAGUUCAGUAGGCACUGGGCCACAUCUAACCUUAACUCCUUGCUGAAGGAAACUCUUUGCAGCAUCAAACACCAGAACAGGACAUUUUUCCAAUCAGAAAGAAAAAAAUUGUGAACACGUUCAACUCUGUCUGUCCAAUUCCUGGCUUUCUUCUGGAUUCCAUUGUCUUCCUUACUUUAGAUAAAUAUGGAGGAACCGUGAAGGAAUUGUCCCCUCCCCCAGAGCACCUCGAAAAACUUACACAUUAUCAGUCCUCGGUGGAGUCUGUAUUUAUGGAGUACUUACUGCUGACAAAUGAUGAUACUGAAGAUUUCUUUUUAAUCUAGGCUUAAUCCUCAUCAUUCUGGUUGUGCAUGAAUGUGGUUAGUAGAUCCACAUGGAUUGUGUCUAUUCAUAGACAAAUAGAUGUUGCUUUGAAAAGGAAGCGUUAAGGAUUAUCCCGCAAUACAGAACCCUUGCUGUCUACCUCUUAUUUCUGAACCUCGAACUUGCCUGUUGUUCUCAGGCAAAGACAAUUAGAAACAGUUUCUGAAAAAUUACCAUUUGGAUCGGCCGCUUUCAUUUGCCCCACAAAUUCUUUUGAUGAUACUUAGAAUGUGAAGGUACUGUACUGUGCUGGAGAGAUCCACAAAACGUGAAAUCAAGCACCCUUUCCUUCCAUCACUCACUCCCCAGUGGGAGGCCACGUCUGUUAAGGAAAGGACUUCCAGCUAGUAGAGAAGCCAGUGGGCCCUGAGGGGGCCACCUACAAGGAGGAACUUGUAUAGCUGGCUUAGAAAUGAAGAGGUUGAUUGCUUUGGCUGAAGAUUAAUCUGCCUGGAGAAAUAAAGAGAGAGAGGUAGGAGAGGGACUAGGAAUAGAGGUGAGGCUAUAGGACUUAGAAUGUCAGGCUUAACAUUUGGCUGUUACAUCCUAAGCAAUGGAGGGCCGCUAGGCGCUUUGCAAGGACAGGGAGCUUUGUGAUCAAAUAUGUCUCUUUCAUAUUUACUGCUGAGGAGGUCUUCGGUGUAGAAACUCAGAAACUAUUCAGGAGACUUUUAGCAGCAUCCCUAAUAUCACCUAAAUCUUGUGAGAACGUGGUGGUUUUAAAACUAACAAAAUCAUAGCAGAGGAGGCAGAAAUUACCCUGAAAACCUGUAUUUUCCACAUCAAGAAGCUAUGUGCUGGGGCACCUGGGUGGCUCAGUCAGUUAAACGUCCAACUCUCAAUAUCAGCUCAGGUCUUGAACUCAGGGUCAUGGGUUCAAGCCCUGCACUGGGCUCUGUGCUGGGUGAGAAACCUACUUGAAGAAGGAGAAGAAGGAGAAGGAGAAGAAGGAAAAGAAGAAGAAGAAGAAGGAGGAGGAAGAGGAGGAGGAGGAGGAGAAGAGGAAGGAGAAGGGGAAGAAGAAGGAGGAGGAGGGGGAGGAGGAGGAGGGGGAGAAGGAAGGGGGAGAAGGAAGGAGGAGAAGAAAGAAACAGCAGCAGCUAUGUGCUUAGCCAUGGUUCACCUUAGCACAAUCACAGUGUAGAAGAGGUUUGUGCUGGUGUUUCCCCACCCACCGUACCACAGCCCCCCUGAUCCCUGCAUCUCCAGGCAUUCAUCUCCCAGCCCAGCCCCACCUGGAAAAAGACUAGCUCUCCACCCUCACCUAGCCAAUAGUUAGCUUAAGUAAGGCUGUAAUGGAGGUGAAGGGGCAGGGUAUUCUAUAAAAUUAAUGUCAGAAUAAAUGGAAGACUCCUUCGGGUGUGAUUCGUGAGGAGCAGAUUUUAGUCUUCUUGCCCUUUCCUCCCCUACCAGUGCAAACUCCACCUGAUUGUUUAUCCAUGAAAUUCCUAGGAACCAAAAAUCUUUUAGUGCCACAGUUGGACUGACUAUCACAAAUGGCUGAAAAGGAAGAAAACCUUGAAAUAAAUUUAUAGUAAGAUGUAAUGACCCAUAGUGUAGACUAGUGUAUCCAUCAGGUUCUGGCGGGAAGUAGAUAGCAUGCUCAAAGUAGGAUCAUUCCAUGAGAUUUUAAUAAAUUUAAUAAAGAGACUAUUUACAGAGUUGUAGGGAAGCCAUAAUGGUUAGUACAGCACCCUGACCCAAUAAAAGCACAGCUGUUACCAUUUCUAGGCCCAAGAUAGGAGGGGAGGGAACAGUUACUGAAACCAAAAUGAGAGAGUCCUGCAGAGAGGGGUGUCAUGAGAGGAGCUCAGACCUUCAGGCAAGGGAUACCACUGGCUCAAAGUGACUGCAGAGAGAAAGCCAAGGGAAUAAACAUGACGAUGUCACUUCUGUCACUGCCUUCAUUCAUUCUCCGGGGUUCCGCAUUGGCUGAACUCAACCAGAAAAGGAAGGGCAAGAAAAUCUAUUGAUGAAGUCGUUGUAAGUCAGCUUUUCUGUGCAGAGUCAGGGAGAGAUGAGUGCAGAGAAUAUUUGGAGGGAUGAAUGGCAGACCCAGCACUAGAGGGAGGAAGAAAGAGAAAGUAGAAGUAGCAAGCUUGGUGGGGGGGGGUGGGGGGUAUAGGAGACGUUGGAGAAGGAAGGUCUAAAAUUUACUGUUCCAGAGGAUUGACCUUGUGGUUUAAUACACACACACACACACACACACACACACACAUGCCCCUUUCGAAAAGAAACCCAGUGUUGGGACUUCCUUGCUCUAAAGUUGAAGGGAGACCUUUUCAGGUGCCCCUGACUCCCCAAGAUGACCGCCCUUCUUUCUUCGAGGAAAACAAACUCAUCAAAAUCCAGACACCAAUGGGAUGUUAAAGCAUGCAAGCAGACCACUGUGAGGUAUGUAGACAGUUUUAUUUUAUUAGCCAACUGAGAGCACCCAUGAGGAACAACGAAAGAGCAAAACAUUGCUUCCCUCUUCCCAUGGGAUUACCUUCCAGGGAUACAAAGUCGGCCUCAGAAGGAAACCCAGGUGUUCCUGGAGUGUCUCCAACAUUUCCUUUUCUCUUUUCUACUCCUUUGUCCUUCCUCCAGCCAGGGCUUCUCUUCUCUAGGGCAAAGACUUAGAAAUCUUCAUCCCUGGGUCUAUCCUGGAAGAUACCAUGAAAUUUCUAUUCUGCACCUCUUUAAUUUUCCCUGGGAGUAAGAUCCUUAUGCCUGAAGCAUCUACAGGGGAAACUUUGUCUUGCUAACAACUGGCAACUUUGAAGCACGAUUGUGCUGUAAGAACCUCUUCCCACCUGCACACAUCUCGCCCCCACUAGUUCCCCCCAAAUCUGAAACUUUGUUUUGUCUCACUGACUUUAGGGAAUUAUUUUUUUUAUGAUUUUUAUUGAACAAUGGACUUGUUGAUUAGGUUGGCUUCACAAAAUAUGUUCAUCUUUCUUGUUUAUAACUGAAUUGCCUUUUGGUUUUUAAGCUUUUAUUUGGUUACCUGUAGCUGCAUAAAACUAUACCAAAAUGUGGUGGCUUGAAACACAAAACAAAACAGUGUAUUAUUAACUUUUACAAGCGUAUGAGUUGUCUGGGUGCUUUUCGCUUAGGAUUUCUCGCCUAGGCUCCACUGGGCUGGUCAUCCAAGAUGGCACUCACACAUGGCUGUUGUUGGCUGAGAUGAGCUGGAGACUUUGACUAGAACGCCUGUCUGUGGCAUCUCUAUGUGGCUUCCAUUUCUCACAUCAUGGCAGCUAGGCUCUGUGAGGAAGUUUCUCAGAAUGAGCCUUCCAAGAGACCCAGGGUAGAGGCUGCCAACUUCUUAUAACCUAACGUCAGAAAUCCCACCUCAGACUUGCCCCCAAGAUCACUCAGAUUCAAGGGGAAAGGAAUUAGACUCUCCCACCCACAGGAAGAGAGGAGCAAUCUGCACCUACAAAGAGGCGAGAAACUGAUGAUGGCCACAUUUGGAAUCCAGCACAAAAUUUCAUCUCUUCUUUUGUGUUUUCCUAAUGAAAUCAUGAUCAUUCAUUUGUGCUAUCGUUAUUCAACAGUCUGCUUAAUAUAGUGGAAAAGAGCACUGAAUUCAGAGUAAGAAGGCCAAGCCAACAGGCCCAACCAGUGCCAAAAUGUAUCCAAAGCGGCAGCUGGGCUCUGAGGUGCCUGUGCAUCCUGGGCAGCUCUUGGACUCGGGGGCAUUUCUGUGCCUUCUAAUCCUACUCCAGUGAGCGCAGAGUUAAGAAGAACUAAUCUGUGGUUGUCUCAUCCAUUUUAACAUCUCCCACCCCCUGAGAGAUUUGGGGAGGGGAACUGAGCAGGCAAAUUCACCUGAAGCAUUCACAGUAGAUGGAAUAGGACCAAACAAAAAUGGCUCCUCUUCAACCACAGAAGAGGGAGGAUAAGUAGGUCUCUGGAUGGCCGAUUAGUUCCCCUCUCCUUUCCAAAUGUCGUCAUCUCUAGUGCGCCAACCGAUCACUUUGUGCUAAUCCCAAAGUUGCCAGGUGCCUCCUCCGUGAUCUUGGGUUAGUCACCUUCUAAUUUUAUUUUCUUGUUUUCUUUUUUUUUUUUUUAACAGGAAAUUCCCAUUGGACUUUAAGUGUCUAAAUUAAGAGAUUAGGAGAGAAACUGCCUAUCGGUAUACUUGCAUUAUUUCCAACUUGACUGCAUCCCAUCUUUAACCCUGUCCGUGAACACUUUGGGUUUUAUUUUUAUUAAUUUUGUUUUAUUUUACUUUUUAAUUGAUGCAUAGUUGACCUGCCAUGUUCUGUUAAAUUCAAGCGUACAGCAUAGUGUUGACCAUUCUGUACAUUAUACUGUGCUCACCACAAUAAGUGGACUCACCGUAUAUUAUUACAAUAUUAAUGACUGUUCUCUAUGCUGUGUUUGUCAUCCCCGUGACUUAUUUAUUUUGCAACUGGAAGUUUGUACACCUUAAUACGCUUCACCGAUUUUUGCCCAUCGUCCCAACCCCCUCUCCUCUGGCAACCACCAGUUUGUUCUCUGUAUUUAUGAUUCUGUUUCUGGUUUUGCUUGUUUGCUCAUUUGUUUUGUUUUUUACAAACAAAAACAUGUUAGUGAAAUCAUAUGGUAUUUGUCUUUCUCUAAUUUUCCCAUCUGUAAAAUGAGAGAAUAGGCAUUUCCGAGGUACAAGAAGACCAAGAUGAAUAAGAUAAGUAAAAAUGUCGUGCCCUGGGUACAGGUGAAGUAUUUUCAAGAAUGUUGCCUAAAUCAGGGCAAAGUUUCUCAGUGAGAGGAUGGUCUGUUAAUCUUUCCAGCCCAGUGGACCACAUGGUCUUCUGUCGCAACUGCGCACCUCCGCUGUUGUGGAGUGCAUGUGUGAAACCAACCUUAGACAAAAAAUAGUAACAAACAGGUGUGGCCGGAUUUGGCCAUCUCGCCUUAGUUUGCCGACCUCUGGUCCAAAUUAUGAUUUCACCUGGGAAAAGAAUGGGAGAAAAGUCAGGACAAGUAAUCUUUUAACAAUAUCUUUCGUUUAUACAUACUGUGAUUCAGACACUAGACAAGGUGAAUUAGAAAUGCAAAGAAGUGGGAAAAUACUGUUUGAUACAACCGGUAGAUGCCAGAUUUCCCUCCUGGAAAGAGAAGAACAAGAGAAAAUAUCCCGACAAUGGAGAACAUGGAACCUUGCAGGGAGGAGGUCUGGUGUAUCUGAGAGAGGAAGAGUAACAUUCCAUUGAUUCCAGAUAGGAAUUGAAAUGAGGGGGAGAGCCUAAAUGAUUCUCAAUGGAGCCCUACCCCAUGAACCUCCAUUUCCCUCCCAGGGCUGUUUAACUCCUAAAAUGUUUAGAGCGAGUGGUUGGUUGGCUUGUCUGUUUGAAAAGCCAGUGAAGAGAUUGGGGCCUCCUAUUUGUUUCAUUCAGAGCAGAUCCUCAGUCUCCUUCCAGGAUCUUGGCAUGCAGGUGCAAAGAAAAGCAUAAGAGUAAGUUCUAGACACAUCAAGAAAUCACACGGAGGUCUCUCGACUGCCGCGCCAUGGAAGUGGGGUGCAGAGGGCAGGGUCCCCGGUUGGAGUCUCUGACAGAAAUGUUGAGGGGCGCCCGGGUGGCUCAGUCGGUUAAGCGACUGACUUCGGCUCAGGUCACGAUCUCGCAAUUUGUGAGUUUGAGCCCCGCGUCGGGCUCUGUGCUGACAGCUCAGCACCUGGAGCCUACCUCAGAUUCUAUGUCUCCCCCUGUCUCUACCCCUCCCCUGCUCACACUCUGUGUCUCUCUCUCUCUCUCGAUAAUAAAUAAACGUUAAAAAAUUAAAAAAAAAAUGUUGAGUAUAGCAUGAUGUAAAUAACAAUGAUUAUAGCGCUCUUAUAAAAUAUGUCAAAAACUUUCUAUUAAAAUAUGGCAAUUAAAGUUUUUUAAAGAUCACUAACUAUCCCAUUCCACUGAUUACAACAGUAAUCGACGUAAGCAACUGGCAAUUUUACACAGUUUUUAACGGAGAUUUAUCCAAAUUGUGCCUUUCUGGAAUGAAACUUUUUUCUAAGUGAACAUUUCUUUUUGGGAAGAGGUUUCUCAUACUUCAUAUUCUCUGCAGUCACAUUUCCAAAUGGCCCAUUGCCAAUUUUGGUUUGGAAAAAAAGAAAAUUAGGAAUUAGCAAUUAACCCUGGGCAUUUGAAGAAAGAACGUUUGUAAUAAUAAAAGACUCCAGAUAACCCUUCCAUAGAAUAGUAACACAUAAAUGUGUGCGUUCACUUCUCUGGAAAUGAAUGAUGCUAAGAAUGUCAUGGCUGGAUAUGUGCUCACAUAUUCUGCCAUAUUCUUGGCACAUUGUAUUUGAUUCUUGACUGUAAGAUUGGAGCGAGCCUCUGCUAAUGAUGGCUGAAGAAAACAUUUCAGAAUGUCUUUAUUUUACAGGCAAGCCACUGUGAUUGAGAAGAAGAACUUCUAACCAAGAAAUGGGUGAACUGAAUUGGAGUUUGAAAUCUGCUACUUCUGAACUCUGUAUCUGAAGUUACUUCUAGAGAUCUAAGAGCAUCCGUAUCAUCUGCAAAUGGUAAUAAUAAUAUCCCUUCAUACAUCACCUGAUUGUUGUGCAAAUCAAGGGAGAAAAGUAGGCAGAAAAACCUUUGCAAAUCAAUGUAGAAAAAGAAGUUCUUUUACUCUGAUGUUUCAGAUUAUACUGCAACUAAUUGUUAGGUAUUUAAAAAAUAUUUUCAGGUUUCACUUUGUAGGAUUCAAGCAUGAAUUUACUUAGAAUAUGUAUAUUAGCAAUAUAUCGCCAGUACCAUGGACUCUUAAACAACUUGAGUUUGAACUCUGGGGGCACCACUGAUACACAGAUUUUCUUUUGAUAAAUACAGUACCAUAAACGUAUUUUCUCUUCCUUAUGAUUUUCUUAAUAACAUUCUCUUUUAUCUACCUUGCUUUAUUGUAAGAAUACAGUAUAUAAUAUAUAUAACACAAAAAAUAUGUAUUAAUUGGUGGUGUAUGUUAUCAUUAAGGCUUCCAGAAAAUAGCAGGCUAUUAGUAAUUAACUUUUUGGGGGGGAGAGGUCAGAAAGUUACACAUGGAUUAUUUUUUAAAUGUUUAUUUAUUUUGAGAAAGAGAGAAAGAGGAGGGUGAACAGGUAGGUAGAGAGAGAUGGAGAGAGAGAAAUCCCACGCAGGGUCCAUGCUGUCACCACAGAGCCCGAUGUGGGGCUCGAUCUCACCACCUGUGAAAUCAUGACCUGAGCCAAAAUCAAGAGUCAGUCGUUUAACCGACUGAGUCAUCCAGGUGCCCCUUCACGUGGAUUUUUGACUGACGGUGUCAGUGCCCCUGACCUCUACCUUUGUCUGAGUGUCAACUGUAUAUGUUAAGCAAAAUAUUCUUUGCCUCCACUUUCUUCUCCCAACAUCACCACGGUUGGCAAAUUGAUAAUGAAUAGGAUGAAAGUCAUUGGCAAGCUGUGCAUUGUAUGGUCAACAGUACUGGUGGCCUCCCCAAGAGCCAUCUACCCAUUCUCCCUUCCCUGUUAACAGAGUCCAGGUUUUAUUCAUAUAUCCAUAUAGAGAUCCACAUUGUUAGCCCCCAUUUUGAGGAUAAAUACUGAGUUUCAAAGCCAAUCAUGGUAACCUCCUUCCUUUUGCCAGUAGCUGAUUAAGGGAUGGACAUGUAGCCCAAUUAGGUUGGUUGAAUGCAUGAUAAUGGGCACUUACUGAACACUUACUAUAUGCCAGGCACUUUUCCCAGUACUUUAUGUAUAUUAAUACUAAUCCUUACACCAACCUUAUGAAGUAGGUUGUAUGACUAUCUAAGUUUUGCAGCUGAGGAAAUUCAGAGCUAGAGACACUAAAAAUACUUGUCCUAGGAAGUGUGUGGAGUAGAGCUAGAUUACAGACCCAGGGUGUGCAGCUUAUUAUCCACACUCAUUGCCACUAUGCAGUAGUAAGGUGGGAGUCUUCUGAGGGCUUUUGGACAAGGUCUCCUCACUAACAAAAAAGAAUCAAACAGGAUAUGGCCUCUUUCUUCUGCUGGGUGUCUGAUGAUCGUGUGUGAUGCCUGGAAUAAUGGCAGCCAUCUUGUGACAAUGAGGGGCACUGAAGCUGAUACACUGAGGAUAGUGUAGUGAAAAGAUUGAGAAACCCUGGGUCUUUGACAUUGUGUUGAAACACUAACUUCCCAAACUAUGAAACUUACCUACUUCAGCCCUUCUUAUCAGAUGAAAUACUAUAUUUUCAUCUUUGUUUGAACAAUUUUGGAGUCACCUGAUACUCACAGCUGAACACAUCCCAGCUGAACUAACACAGACAUGCUGUUAAGUAUGGUACGUCCAACCAAAGUAAUAGGCUUCCUUCUGAAGUAGCAAUUUACUAUCACUAGAAAUAUGUUAAGGAUGCUAAAGGGGGAUUAUAAUUUCGGGAGAGUACAUUAGACAAAAUGAUCCAAGAUGCCUUCUAAUUCUAGGUUGCUGAUUUCACUGAAAUGAUGGUUUUCUCUAUCCAACAGGAUCAUUACGAUGGAAGGUGUUAAAAUACAAUUGAACAGUCUUCUGGAGAAAAAACAAAUAUUUGGAAGAUAAAGGAAGAAAAGAUAAAUGAGCGGAAAUGUAGGCAGGUCCUGUGGUUCAGUCAAGGAACUGAAACCAAAAAUAACUCGGAGACCCAGGAUAAGCCAAACUGAAUUUGGGGACUUGAAUCCUCAGUCCCACCAGGUAAGCAAAACUCUUAGCCUCAACAUCCAUUUGGGGACUUGAUUCCUCAGUCCCAUCAAGUAAGCAAAACUCUUAGCCUCAACAUCAACUACCUGCGUACUUCUCUUUUCCCUUUACUUCCAGUUUCUAGGAGAUCACAAGGCCUCCUUCCUAAUUUCUCUCAAAAUCAGUUACUUGGCUUCUCUCAAAAUCAGCAGGGACUCCUCAAGCAGUGGCUACUCACUUCUCCACUUGGAAAUCUUACAGCAUGUUCAGUGCUUGACCGGUCCAAUCUCUUCGUGGUGUUUAGCCUCAACUUUCAGCUCUUGCUUCACCUUUCGUUGUCCCUCUCUGAGUAACCACACUGUCUCCCACUGAUGCACACCCCAUUCUAUUUCACCAGCCCAGAGCUCUCUCCCAACCUCUAGACCCCUGUUGACAGCUCCAUCCUGGAUGGCUUCUCUACACUCUGGGAAAACAGCAGUCAUCUUGGCUCCCCUGUCUCUCUCUGCCUCUACCUCCCUUGCAUCUCUUGUUGGUUUAAACCCUAAAACAUGUUUUCCAUCUGUCCCUGAUCCGUUUCCAUUGUCCAACGCCAGAUCUUCAUCUCUCUUCUGGGCUCCCAAGUGGCCCACCCUCAAAUUCCACGCUGGCCACCAGCGUGGUAAGUCCGAAAACAAGUCAGUUGAUGCUUUUUCACUUUUUUACCUGGGAUGAUUCCUCAUUGGUUUGAAUGGUGAUUGCCUUCAGAAUAACAUCCAUUUUUCUUUGGCUGUUUCUCCAACUGGCCCCAUCCUACCUGCCAGCCUCAGCUCCAGCUAUUCCCUCCACGCACUCUGUGGUUUUCCUAUAUGAAAUUCCUUCCUUUUCUAUCUCUGUGCUGUGAAUGGGUGCUGGUUCUUUGGCUGAAUUGUUCCCAUCUACCCUUGCAUGGCCUGGCAAACUCAUCCUAUCUCAAGGCACAGUUCAGAUUGUGUCUUUUCCCUUUAUCUUGCCCACCACCAGGCAGACUUUUAGCUCCCCAUCUGUUUCUAUAAACAUGCCUCCAUUCAAGCAUGCAUUGGGAAAGCAGGAGCUGUCUGGAUAAGGCAAUGUAUCACCACCCCCAGCUCCAUAGAAAUGCCCAAGUCCUGAGGAUCUAACCACAGCUGAGCUAAUGUGUCCCUUUCUGGACAUGUUUUGGUUUGAGACCAGAGAGAACUAGCACUGAAUCUCUCUGACAUUCAGUCAGGGAGGAAAACUAUUAUCCUACACAAGAACAAACUCAGCCUUAACCUCAGACUUCUGUAAAGGGGAGAAUCAGUGGAGCAACUGUCUAAAGAUUUUUAUAGGAAGAAAUUGUAACCAAUAAUUUUCACCUAAACCGUUUUCAGAAAUCUCAGAAAUCUAAGGACUCAAAAUAAAAUGCCACCCAUAUGUUUGUCUUGAACAAUUCAAGAGAGGGAGCAAAGCUAGAAGAACUUGAGACUUGAAAGGUUGAGUGAUUAGGGACUAAUGGUAAUCUGGGAUUAUUAUUUUUAAUCAAAAAUAAACACAAAUAUCAAAUUCGUUUUGAUAGAGAAGAUAAAUAAAAUAAUGAUUCAAUAAUAUUGAUCUGGGUAUAAAAUCACAGAAGACAAAACAAAGGUAUUCCCAUUAAACAUUAUGAUUAAGCCUUUUUUGAAGUUCUGGCCAAUGCAGUAAGUAAGGUAGGACAAUAAAUGGAGUAAAAAUGAGAAAAUUAUUAUCAUGAUCCUGAGAUGAUAUUAUUUACGUGAAAAACUCAAAAGAAUCAUUUGAUAAUAACAAGUUUCAGUGAGCUUAUUAUAUGUGAAAAGAAUGUGCAUGUGAUAUAUUCAAACUUCAGGAGCUCUUUCUAUGUAUCAGCAGUAAUUAAUUAGAAAAUAUAAUGGGGAAAUCAACUAUAGUAGUUAUGAUGCUUUGGGGUACAAGUUGAUGAAGAGAUAGAUUUUUUUCUUAGGUAUUAUAUGUAUUUUUUGCUUACUCUUGUUAAUGAUAUUUUAGUAACUCUUACUUGGGGAAGAAUGCUCUUUAGUUAAGAACUGCCCCAAGGAAAAAAAUAUUCCCAGAAGACUUUAAAAAUUUUUCAGGAGCAUAAUGACUGUAAUAAAUGGACAAACAGCGACAAGAAGACAACAUUAAAGAAAUGUCAUCGACUCCCCCCAAAAUCCUUAGACUUAAUGAAAUCCAAUCAAUCUCAAUAUAUUUUUUCUUGAAACUUAACAAUCGGAGGCUCACAUGAAAUCAAAACAACAAACACAAAUAAAAAUCUGAGAGAUUACAGUAAUGAGAGGGGCUUUGCAUUAAGAUGUCAGAGUGUGUUACAAAUCCACAAUAAUCUAAAUAAUCUGGCACUGACGUUAUUUUCUAACCCUGAUUUUUGUUUUCUCUUCUUUGCCUACUGUAAUCCUUACCAACUCAAAAUCCUCCUUUUCUAUGAAACUUCUUUGGACCACCCAAUCUGGAAGUCUUUUCCCACAAGAUGCCCUUUUCUUUGGCCAUUGAUCCGUACUCUUGGCUACCUAACAAAAAUUUUACAUGCCUUUUCUUCCCUGCAGAAGAUGCUUACACAUCUUUAAUAUGUUUAUACCUACAAUAUAAAAACAGUUGAUUUCAGUAUCAUCAUUGACAGACGGCAGUGUGAGAUAUAAUAACAUCAUGAUGCCAAGGCUUCAAAGUUAGCUCUGAGGGACCAUGAAUAGCAGCACCUGGGUGCUUAGAAAUGCAGAAUUGCAGGCUUCAUCCCAGGUACACAAAAUCAGAAGCUGCAUUUUAACAUGAUCCUCAGGUGAUUUGUGUGCACAUUAAAUUUUGAGAAGCACUGCCCUAAAGAAUUUCAUGGAAUAAAAAUAUUUCAUAGCACUCCUGAAGCAAUCAGACAUAGUCAGAUAUCUUCCUGUGCAGCAAACGAAUAGAAUUAUUCAAAUCUUGUUUCCCUGAUAGGUAAAAAUUUAGCGAUACCAAAAGAACACUAAAGAAAUGUGGGUUCAGGGCAUGGGAUAAAUCGAAUGAUAAAAGCAGACUGAGGGGGUGCAUGCAUGGGGAAUGUAAAGGCAGUGGUUUGUGAUUUGGAAGUGAUUUGGUACCUGAUUACUUCCACUGGGCUUUCUAAUUUCUUCCUUCUAACCCUCGUCUCCCUACGAUGACAUUAUUCUUUAUCGUUGCUCUACACUUUAACAUGGGCUGCCGUAAUCUCACCUCCAACUCACUAUCUUCUAAUAAAAACAGUCCUCACUCAUGAGUCCCUCCCCACCACAAGCCAGAGCCCCCAGAGCAUCCACUAGAAUGUAAGUUCCCUAGCAGCACAGAAUGGGGCUGUCUGGCUUACUUGCUGUAUCUGCAGGGAACAGAAUAGCAUCAAGUACCUAGUAGGCAUUCAACAAUUGAAUAGUCAACAGAUGAAGCAAACAAUUUGACAACUUUUAUUAUACCAGGUCCUGCCAGGGAAUAAUCUCUGGAUUGAUUUGCAUUCAGUCCCCACAUCUCCUUGGAACAGUGCUUAUUUUACCCUGUAAAUUCCUUUAAGUCUGUUUUCGUUGCAUCACUACCAACACCGCCUCGUACCUGUGCUGCCAUAGUAAAAUCUGAGAUACUCUCCUUUCUCUGGUUCCCUGAGUGAGCUCCAACUAACUUUCUAUAGUCCGCUCUCAUCCAAAGUAUUACAUCCAAACCCUUUACCCUGACUCUGAAUUCUUUAGAGUCCAAACCUAAGCUUCCUUUCCAGCCUUGUGUCAUGGCUUCCCAAAGGGAAUCUUCCUUUCUAGCCAAGGUGAUCGACUCAUGUCUCUUUACUAUGCUUUCUCUGCUGGAAUUUAUUUCCCCAAAGUAAAAUUGUUUUUCCCUAUCAUAUUUGCCUAUCGAAACCUACCCAUUCCUUGAGACUUGGCUCAUCCACUUUCUCAAGGAAACAUGGUAGCCAAGCACUCUAAUCUGGCAGAAUUCAUCACUGAUUCAUUCCAGGAAUACCCAAUAGUUUCUCCUCUGAAUUCUCCUUUCAGUCAUGAUCUAUAAUGCCCAUCACUUACUAUGCAUGCUCCUUUGAACAUAUAUCCUUCUACAUAUGUGUUGUACAUAUAGGUAAACAAAGAGUUCAAGACAGGUGGCCUGAGAUUGAAACAUCUGCCACAUAAUAAUGGAGUAACAUUAAGCAAUUUUCUUCCCUUCUCUGGGUCCCAGUGUCUUUAUCUGUAAAAAAGUACCUACCUUAGAGGAGGAUUAUAAUUAAAAUAAAUCACAUAAUUUGAAAAGCUCUUAGCAGGGUUCUGGAACAUAAAGAGUACCCAAAAAUGUCGGUAUUCCUUCCCCAGAGCAUCUCACUUACAGUUGGUGCUACUUUAUAUUCUUAUGUAUUUCAGUACAUCAAAAUAGCUAUUUAUUCAUUGAUGAAUUGAUAAUAUUAGUGCUGGCUAUCAAUACAGACUUUCCACUGAAGAAUUUUAGGAACAAAAUUUCCUAUUCCUUUUGGAUCAGGGAGUAGACAUCCCUCUCUAAAGGAAUGGUAUUUGGGGGAAUAGAUGAAAAAGAAAGAUACUAUGAUACUAUGAUUAGAAUCCCAUCUUAGAUUAUUUACUCUAUCUUUGAUAACAUAUCUUGUAAGGGAGUCUGGCUUUGUGAUUAAAACUAUGUUGAGAAAUGGAAUAUGUCCGAAAGAAAUUUCUACUGUUGUAGCUUUGAACAAGAGCUUACCCUUUCUAAGCCUGUCUCCCAUUUAACAAUGAGAUUAGACCAGAUGACCCCUAUCAUCCCUUGGAUUGCUAUUAGAAUAUAGUUACUUUGCUGUGGCAAUACCAAGAUUGCAUUAUCUCCUCCAUCUUUCGUGUAUGUAUCAGCCCUUAAGAAAAAUCCUUCAUAGAAGUAACAAGUCAUUCCAAGAUUUAUUUCAGAUUAUAGACGAACAACUGUUAGGCAAUUGUUAAGAUACUAUGCUAGGUUGUCAUUCAGUUAUUAUGAAACCCUCACUCUGAAAAAGUAUGAUGGUCUAAUAUUUAACACUAAAUGAUAACAAUGCUUAGUCUUACUUUGGAAGAAGACAGAUUAUUAUAUACAGGUUGGGUUUACUCAAAAUUAACUACCAGCUUAUUGGCCCAGAUAGUCAUGGUCCAUGGCUUGCCUAUUUUCUACUUGAUUUUACUAAGUAGUACACAUGCUCUUCUGAGUUGAAUUAUGUUUAAAUAUGGCAAAGUUCGGGGCACCUGGGUGGCGCAGUCGGUUACGCGUCCGACUUCAGCCAGGUCACGAUCUCGCGCUCCGUGAGUUCGAGCCCCGCGUCGGGCUCUGGGCUGAUGGCUCAGAGCCUGGAGCCUGUUUCUGAUUCUGUGUCUCCCUCUCUCUCUGCCCCUCCCCCGUUCAUGCUCUGUCUCUCUCUGUCCCAAAAAUAAAUAAAAAACGUUGAAAAAAAAAUUUAAAUAUGGCAAAGUUCAAGUAGGAUACUAUCACUUUUUAUUCAGUAAUACAAAAAAUAUUAUUUGCUAUUGGUCUCAUGCAUGCCCUGACUUGACAGGUGAUGUGUUUAAAACUCUCUCUCUCUCUCUCUCUCUCUCUCUCACACACACACACACACACACACACACACUUCCAGCAAAUCAACAUCCAUGCUCUGGGUGACAUGGGAUGGGAGGGCAUGUCUGUACUUGUUUGUGACAUAGAUUUGUUGAUAUUUUAGGGAGGGGAGUAAUACAUUGAUAUUUAUUUCCGAUUAGCCUUAUUUUAGGGUUCUUUUUCAGAGUCUGUGGAAGGUCAUCUUAAGGCCAUACUGUGACUUUACUGAAUGUGACUACCCAUUCAGCAGCCUAUGAGGCAGGAGUCUCCAGGCUGACGUCUCCAGGCUGAGUCCCCAAGCUUCAGUAGGUAACUACUGAAUAAGUAGCAUGUGUUACAUGGGCCUUCAGAGAGUCUGCGGCCCCAAGUUCAGUAGCACUGAAAUCGGGAGCUGGACAUCCCAUUUACCCAGAAACCUUGGUCACUGUCUUUCCAACAAAGGCUGGAUCUUCCUUCCCCAUCUCAUCUGUCUCUUUGGAGAAGAAAAGCAUGGGGACGACUUUCCAUGGAAGCUCUCAGAGAUAUGCUGUCCUUACUCAGACUACCUGAGCCAGCAUUCCCCCACAUUAGACCCACUGGUGACUCCCUUAUUGUUGCACAAGGUGACAGUGUUCCUAUGACACAGAAACACAGUAGGGCACUUGUGCCACAGAGCUAUGGGAGAGGCUGGUGGUCUGCCCUGAGAUUGCUAUCCACCAAAACCGAGGCUUUCAGCAAACUGCUUGGCGCCUGUAGACAGGGAUCCAAGUGUUGAUCGUUCAGCGAUGGGCAGACCUCCUGUGGCUUCAGCAAAUUUCAGAACAGCACUUAGGCUGGUAUUCCUGGGGGACAAGAUGUGACAUCAGUUGGGUUUUCAGCCCCAAACUGCCAUCAGAAGGAUCUCCCAAGUAUCUUACAUCCCUGCAAAGGUGUGAGGUUAUCUUUUAUACACUGUUCCAUCUAAAAGUCAAGCCUGGUACCAACCAAAUGGGUUCUGUUGCAAGGAACUUGAGGAUAUUCUUGUCCUCGAUCUGCAGGAUGAAAAGGCUCUGGCCAUUCUGAAGGUUUUCCUUUAAGUUGAUUCAGGAAUUUAGGAUCACACCAUAUGAUGAUUCUGGGCAGCACAGAAAGGCUUCAAUUUGUUCUUAUUGACUUGACUUGUGCUCCCAGCAGGUUUGAGGGAAACCUGGGGCUAUUAACUAAGGAAAGGGACAAGCCAAAUCAAUGUGACUUGGAACGUGUACCCUCGGCCUCAGUGAUAGACACUGUCUGGUUAUGGAGACUAGAAGCACGCCCACAUUCAUGGGACCCUUGCUUACCAGGGUGUGUCUUAGAACCAACCAGGAUCAUUUUUGAAUAGAUCAAAAUACUAUCUCUGCCCCUAGAAAGUCCUGGAUUGGAAUCCAGGAAGUGGGGAGUGCUGUCCUCCUUUGAUGUCAUGGUCAGAUCAUCAUUUUACCUGGGGAAACAGUGACUUGGCAAACCCCUCCUUUCCUUUCGUACCAUGCUCUGGGCACUGGGGCCAUUGAUGAGCAAUGAAUGGGUGGGGGCGGGGGAGGGGGUGCUUCAGUGACAUCACAGAUGUCGGUCCACACCAGGUCAGCUUUCCCUCUCCCUCAUCACCCCCUUCCUUCGGCCAAAGUUUGUAUGCUGGACCUGUAGGACAUGAAGUCAUAUGUGACCCUUCCUUGGGCUGGAUGCUGUCGUCUGGCCAGAUAAACUAACAGGCUAGGAGAUCCAGCUGGGGCUGGCUGUACUUUGCCCACGUCUGUUACAACAUAUGGUACACUCACUUGAAGUGACUGACAGAGCUAUUUAAUUUUACAGUUUGUCUGAUGCCCCCACCCAAAUACCACGCAUACCGUCAUGUGCUGAUGCAAAACGGCAUUUGUGAGCAGUCUCAACUGGGUUUCAAUCACGGAUUUCACGAAAGGAACACUUUAAAAUUGGAUUUGAACUCCACAGCUCCCAGGAUAGGGCAGAGCUGGAUGGAAACAUCUGGAGAUGUACCCGGGAACAGGGCCCACCAUGUUCCUCGGGAGGAAAUCGAGGCGGCAAGAUUGACGCCCAAGGACUCAUCCAGCCAGUUGACACAAGCCUAGAACUUUCCGCCUGACUUCCAACCAAUACUCUUUCCAGCCCGGGCUGUCAUCACACGUGAUGUUUUGCUUCAUGUACAAAAUAAGGCCCCUCAGAACCUUUCCCGGAACUGGACCUUUGGACCUCAAAAUGGUUUAAUGCACACUUUUGGGAAGGGAGAGCCACAAGGCCUCUAAGUGGUUUUGAUCAAGUUUGCCAAUAUUUACACCGUUGGAUAAUCUGCAUGAACUUCAUAAAUAAUGUAAAUUCCUACAAAGCGAGUUAACCGUGAGCUACGGUGGUCUUUCGAAAAAUCCAUGUUACACAAUCAUCCUGACAAAGUUAACAACUCGAUGGAAUACCGAAGGUAACCACUGAUUGCACUCGCUGCCAUUGACCAUUUUAAGUGUGACUAUUUUUAAAAUACUGUAUGCCUCAUUACGCCGGGCUCUGAAAAUGAGAAAUUUGCUUUAACUGCAUUGUUUUGAAUUGCUGAGAGAAGAAUCUAUCAACCACAAGGUGCCCUGCUGCUGAACUCAGCCAAAAAGCUGUUAAUAACCCCAGCAGAUGUUUCAGCUUUUUAGGCCAAUAGACUCCCUCUCUCCCUGCCCUCCCCUUUCUAGAAUCUGAUGCCAAUAUGACUGAACUCCAGUUUCUGUGGUUGCUGCCUCCGUGGCCGCCUCCACCAGAGUCAGUGAUACUAGAGCUGCUGAGGAAUUGAUUCUUUAAACAACCGGUAGCAACACAGCCCAGCCCUUUAAGGUCAGAGCAUUAUUGCUUUUACCGUUAGACGUUUAAAUCUUCAGGGAGGAAAUGAAGGUAAGGGCACCGAAUCUGUAGUCCUGUUCUGUCGUCUGCCUUCAUUGCCAGUCAUUUCAUUCUACUUGUUGUGGUUUGUCCCCACGCUCAGAGUCCAUUUCUCAGACUGAUCAGGGCAUUGGGCUUGCCGGGUAGAGGUCAUUAAUACAUCGAGUCCCCACCGGUCGCUGAGGGAUGUUGGGUUAGCAGCUUUACAAAGGGGGCCUCUGUGCGAUGUGCAGUUUGGGAUGGUUGUUUGCCUAAUACCACAAGGCUCAGAAUGCCCUGACCUUAGCAGUUCUGCAAUAUUAGAAGUGUGUAUUAUAAAUACAGCUACAUCCCUGUGAGAUGGGUACAAUAUGAGGGCAUAUGGGGCCACGGCAAUCCCAGAUGGGGAUUUGUCAACUUCUCUGGACAAACCUUACGUCUUAACUUGAAAUUAAAUCUACAUUCCAAGGCUUUCCAAAUGAGAAGACAUUUUUUAAAAAGGGGAGGGAAAGAUGCUCCCCCUUCUCCCACUCGCCUGCCCGCCUCCCCAUACUCACUUAUUUCGGAAAGAGCGCUUUAAGGCA
rnacentral:lncRNA from 1 species